AUUGAACGCUGGCGGCAUGCCUUACACAUGCAAGUCGAACGGCAGCACGGGUGCUUGCACCUGGUGGCGAGUGGCGAACGGGUGAGUAAUACAUCGGAACAUGUCCUGUAGUGGGGGAUAGCCCGGCGAAAGCCGGAUUAAUACCGCAUACGAUCUACGGAUGAAAGCGGGGGACCUUCGGGCCUCGCGCUAUAGGGUUGGCCGAUGGCUGAUUAGCUAGUUGGUGGGGUAAAGGCCUACCAAGGCGACGAUCAGUAGCUGGUCUGAGAGGACGACCAGCCACACUGGGACUGAGACACGGCCCAGACUCCUACGGGAGGCAGCAGUGGGGAAUUUUGGACAAUGGGCGAAAGCCUGAUCCAGCAAUGCCGCGUGUGUGAAGAAGGCCUUCGGGUUGUAAAGCACUGUUGUCCGGAAAGAAAUCCUUGGCCCUAAUACGGUCGGGGGAUGACGGUACCGGAAGAAUAAGCACCGGCUAACUACGUG
rnacentral:rRNA from 1 species